rnacentral:rRNA from 1 species
UGGGGAAUAUUGCACAAUGGAGGAAACUCUGAUGCAGCGACGCCGCGUGAGCGAUGAAGGCUUUCGAGUCGUAAAGCUCUGUCCUAUGGGAAGAUAAUGACGGUACCAUAGGAGGAAGCCCCGGCUAACUACGUGCCAGCAGCCGCGGUAAUACGUAGGGGGCGAGCGUUGUCCGGAAUCACUGGGCGUAAAGGGUUCGCAGGCGGUUUACCAAGUCCGAUGUGAAAGGCAUGGGCUCAACCCAUGUAAGCAUUGGAAACUGGUAGACUUGAGUUAAGGAGAGGUAAGUGGAAUUCCUAGUGUAGCGGUGAAAUGCGUAGAUAUUAGGAAGAAUACCGGUGGCGAAGGCGACUUACUGGACUUAAACUGACGCUGAGGAACGAAAGCGUGGGGAGCAAACAGG